rnacentral:rRNA from 1 species
GGGGAAUAUUGCACAAUGGGCGCAAGCCUGUAUGCAGCGACGCCGCGUGAGGGAUGACGGCCUUCGGGUUGUAAACCUCUUUCAGUAGGGAAGAAGCGAAAGUGACGGUACCUGCAGAAGAAGCACCGGCUAACUACGUGCCAGCAGCCGCGGUAAUACGUAGGGUGCGAGCGUUAUCCGGAAUUAUUGGGCGUAAAGAGCUCGUAGGCGGUUUGUCGCGUCUGUCGUGAAAGUCCGGGGCUUAACCCCGGAUCUGCGGUGGGUACGGGCAGACUAGAGUGCAGUAGGGGAGACUGGAAUUCCUGGUGUAGCGGUGGAAUGCGCAGAUAUCAGGAGGAACACCGAUGGCGAAGGCAGGUCUCUGGGCUGUAACUGACGCUGAGGAGCGAAAGCAUGGGGAGCGAACAGGAUUAGAUACCUGGUAGUCCAUGCCCGUAAACGUUGGGCACUARGUGUGGGGACCAUUCCACGGUUUCCGCGCCGCAGCUAACGCAUUAAGUGCCCCGCCUGGGGAGUACGCC